GACGAACGCUGGCGGCGUGCUUAACACAUGCAAGUCGAACGGAAAGGCCCUGCUUUUGUGGGGUGCUCGAGUGGCGAACGGGUGAGUAACACGUGAGUAACCUGUCACUGACCUUGGGAUAACUUCAGGAAACUGGGGCUAAUACCGGAUAGGAGCUCUUGCUGCAUGGUGGGGGUUGGAAAGUUUCGGCGGUUGGGGAUGGACUCGCGGCUGAUCAGCUUGUUGGUGGGGUAGUGUCAUACCAAGGCUUUGACGGGUAGCCGGCCUGAUAGGGUGACCGGCCACAUUGGGACUGAGAUACGGCCCAGACUCCUACGGGAGGCAGCAGUGGGGAAUAUUGCACAAUGGGCGGAAGCCUGAUGCAGCAACGCCGCGUGCGGGAUGACGGCCUUCGGGUUGUAAACCGCUGUCGCCUGUGACGAAGUGUGAGUGACGGUAAUGGGUAAAGAAGCACCGGCUAACUACGUG
rnacentral:rRNA from 1 species